AGUUCGUGGAAUAAUCUGUCUGCUUAAUUGCGUUUUUUCAAUUGUGCCUUGAUGCUCAAUAUACCUUCUGAGUAUGUCUGAGUUGGAUCGCUCUUUCUGUGGUCCCUCUCGGCAUGCCAGUUUGGUGAGUUGUCGGGGCCUUCUGAAACGAACGAGACCCCAACCCUUCUUUUUCGGUGUCAUACAACGAAUUGUUGUUACUUUUUUGUCUUUCGGUUGUCGAGGUAACUUUCGGGUUAUUCUCGCGUCGGCUGGCAUCUUACGACGCUGUUAACAGAAGGGGACUGUUACAUCCAAAUGUAAAGGAAGGUUGGGGCAAUAACAGG
rnacentral:rRNA from 1 species